GACGAACGCUGGCGGCGUGCUUAACACAUGCAAGUCGAACGGAAAGGCCCUGCUUUUGUGGGGUGCUCGAGUGGCGAACGGGUGAGUAACACGUGAGUAACCUGCCCUUGACUUUGGGAUAACUUCAGGAAACUGGGGCAAAUACCGGAUAGGAGCUCCUGCGGCUGGGUGGGGGUUGGAAAGUUUCGGCGGUUGGGGAUGGACUCGCGGCUUAUCAGCUUGUUGGUGGGGUAGUGGCUUACCAAGGCUUUGACGGGUAGCCGGCCUGAGAGGGUGACCGGCCACAUUGGGACUGAGAUACGGCCCAGACUCCUACGGGAGGCAGCAGUGGGGAAUAUUGCACAAUGGGCGGAAGCCUGAUGCAGCAACGCCGCGUGCGGGAUGACGGCCUUCGGGUUGUAAACCGCUUUCGCCUGUGACGAAGCGUGAGUGACGGUAAUGGGUAAAGAAGCACCGGCUAACUACGUG
rnacentral:rRNA from 1 species